ACUGUGUUUUGUAUAUUUAUUUUCAUUAACACAAACAAGGUUUUGCAUCCAAUACAUCCCAUUAUUGUAUCACAGCUUACAAAAUGGA